UACAGAGACCUCAAGCGUUAUCCGGAUUUAUUGGGCGUAAAGAGCAUGUAGGCGGAUAUAUUAGUCAGACGUCAAAUCUUCGAGCUCAACUCGAAAACUGCGUUUGAAACGGUAUAUCUCGAGGAAGUGAGAGAUCGAUGGAACGUAUGGUGUAGCAGUGAAAUGCGUUGAUAUCAUACGGAACACCAAAGGCGAAGGCAUUCGAUUGGCACUUUUCUGACGCUGAGAUGCGAAAGCGUGGGUAGCGAAUGGG
rnacentral:rRNA from 1 species